CCAGAGAUGUUGAUGCAGGAUGUUCCCAAUGCGAAUGCCAUCCGGUUCCCUGGAGGGUGACGCUGUUCUUCUGGAGUUUCCGUAGACAAGUGUCUCUGAUGUGCGCACGGCCAUCAGACGAAAAUGUAACAAUGAGCAGUUCAGCCAAAAAAA